rnacentral:rRNA from 1 species
GACGAACGCUGGCGGCGUGCUUAACACAUGCAAGUCGAACGAUGACGACCGGGCUUGCUCGGUCUGAUUAGUGGCGAACGGGUGAGUAACACGUGAGCAACCUGCCCUUCACUCUGGGAUAACCUCGGGAAAUCGGGGCUAAUACCGGAUAUGAGCUCCUGUCGCAUGGCGGGUGUUGGAAAGUUUUUCGGUGAAGGAUGGGCUCGCGGCCUAUCAGUUUGUUGGUGAGGUAGUGGCUCACCAAGGCGAUGACGGGUAGCCGGCCUGAGAGGGCGACCGGCCACACUGGGACUGAGACACGGCCCAGACUCCUACGGGAGGCAGCAGUGGGGAAUAUUGCACAAUGGGCGAAAGCCUGAUGCAGCGACGCCGCGUGAGGGAUGACGGCCUUCGGGUUGUAAACCUCUUUCAGCAGGGAAGAAGCGAAAGUGACGGUACCUGCAGAAGAAGCGCCGGCUAACUACGUG